rnacentral:rRNA from 1 species
UACGUAGGAGGCAAGCGUUGUCCGGAAUCACUGGGCGUAAAGCGCGUGUAGGUGGUGGGACAAGUCUGCUGUGAAAGCGCCUGGCUUAACCGGGCGAGGUCGGCGGAAACUGUUCGACUCGAGGACGGUAGAGGGGGGUGGAAUUCCCGGUGUAGUGGUGAAAUGCGUAGAGAUCGGGAGGAACACCUGUGGCGAAGGCGGCCCCCCUGGGCCGGCCCUGACACUGAGACGCGAAGGCGUGGGGAGCGAACGGG